GAUGAACGCUGGCGGCGUGCCUAAUACAUGCAAGUCGAGCGAACAGACGAGGAUCUUACUUCUCUGACGUUAGCGGCGGACGGGUGAGUCACACGAGGAUAACCUACCUAUAAGACUGGGAUAACUUCGGGAAAGCGGAUCUAAUAUCGGAUAAGAUGUUGAACCGCAUGGUUCAUCAGUGAAAGACGGUCUUGCUGUCACUAAUAGAUGGAUCCGCGUCGCAUUAGCUAGUUGGUACGGUAACGGCUUACCAGGGCGACGAUGCGUAGCCGACCUGAGAGGGUGAUCGGCCACACUGGAACUGAGACACGGUCCAGACUCCUACGGGAGGCAGCAGUAGGGAAUCUUCCGCAAUGGGCGAAAGCCUGACGGAGCAACGCCGCGUGAGUGAAGAAGGUCUUCGGAUCGUAAAGCUCUGUUAUUAGGGAAGAACAGAUGUGUAAGUAACUAUGCACGUCUUGACGGUACCUAAUCAAAAAGCAACGGCUAACUACGUG
rnacentral:rRNA from 1 species